ACCCUGAUCCAGCCAUGCCGCGUGAGUGAUGAAGGCCUUAGGGUCGUAAAGCUCUUUCGCCUGUGAAGAUAAUGACGGUAGCAGGUAAAGAAACCCCGGCUAACUCCGUGCCAGCAGCCGCGGUAAUACGGAGGGGGUUAGCGUUGUUCGGAAUUACUGGGCGUAAAGCGCACGUAGGCGGACUGGAAAGUUGGGGGUGAAAUCCCAGGGCUCAACCCUGGAACUGCCUCCAAAACUAUCAGUCUAGAGUUCGAGAGAGGUGAGUGGAAUUCCGAGUGUAGAGGUGAAAUUCGUAGAUAUUCGGAGGAACACCAGUGGCGAAGGCGGCUCACUGGCUCGAUACUGACGCUGAGGUGCGAAAGUGUGGGGAGCAAACAGGAUUAGAUACCCUGGUAGUCCACACCGUAAACGAUGAAUGCCAGUCGUCGGGUAGCAUGCUAUUCGGUGACACACCUAACGGAUUAAGCAUUCCGCCUGG
rnacentral:rRNA from 1 species